rnacentral:lncRNA from 1 species
CUUAGGACUUUAUUAUAAUGAAAAUUCUGAAGACUAUAAGUAAACAAAGAGGACACACACUGGAAGACAACUGGAGUCAUCCCAUGACAUUGGAGUGGGCCAGCCUCCUGGGACGUAGGCAUUUGUGGAAACAUUUAUUGGAUUCCCCCCCCAACUUCCCAAUGGCUUUUAUCUUUGGUCUAUCCCUCUGUGGCUUAGUGGAUUCUCUUCUUUCAGUGAAUACCCAAAGGUAUGUGCUAGAUGUGGCCAGGGAGCUCUGUUUAGUGUUCCAGGGUCAGGGUAAUAUCCAAGAUGACACCAAAGAUGAUUGUGGUAAGCUUCCUCUUUUUUUUAAUCAGAGGGGAGGGUUAGAUCAGCUCUGUUGGUGUGGUCUCACAUUAACCUCCUUUCCUCCAAGGAGAUUAGUUCCAAAGUGCUAGCUCCAGUGGAUGCAAUAUUCAUCUGCAUUGUCACAAGAACCAUGUGAAGUAUUCAUGCAGUCCUCAGUGUGAGCACUGAUGCCACAGCAAUGACCUUUUCCAGGCAAUCAGGGAUCCCCAAAAACAUUAAAGAAAGAAAUAGAAGAAGCCAUUUCAAAAAUGGAAAAACCUUCCAUGUUCAUGGAUUGGAAGAAUCAAGAUCAUCAAAAUGUCCAUGCUAUCCAAAGCAAUUUACAGAUUCAAUGCAAUAACAUCCAAACUACCAAGGACAAUCUUCUCAAAUAUAGAAAACAGGAUGCUGAAAUUCAUAUGGAAAAAUAAGAGACCCCGAAUAAUUAAAGCAAUCUUAUUCAACAAAAACAAAGCCAGAAUACCACAAUAUCACAUUUCAUGACAUAUUACAGAGUAGUUAUAAUCAAAACAUCCUGGUAUUGACACAAAAACAGAUGGAUAGACCAAUGGACUAGAAUAGAAAUGCCAGAAAUUAGUCCAUAUAUCUAUACCCAACAUAUCUUUCACAAACAAGCUAAAAUCAAUCCCUGAAUAAUGACAGUCUCUUCAACAAAUGGUGGUAGGAAAACUAGAUGUCCACGUGCAGAAGUAUGAAACAAGACUCUUACCUUACACAAAAAUCCACUCAAAUUGUAUCAGAGAUUUUAAUCUCCCAUCAAAUAUCAUCAAAUUGUUAGAGAACAUUGGGGAAACCUUGCAGGACAAGCCUUCUUGGAAAAGACCCAGAAGCACAGGCGAUCAAAGCCAAAAUUGACAAAUGUGAUCACAUCUAGCUGAGAAGCUUCUAUACUGCAAAAGAAAUACUCAGAAAAGUGAAGUGGCAACCACCAGAAUUGAAUAAAUUAUUUGACAAUUAUACA